UAACCUGUCACACACUGAAGACCUAUAGGUUCACCACUGUACUAACCUGUCACACACUGAAGACCUAUAGGUUCACCACUGUACUAACCUGUCACACACUGAAGACCUAUAGGUUCACCACUGUACUAACCUGUCACACACUGAAGACCUAUAGGUUCACCACUGUACUAACCUGUCACACACUGAAGACCUAUAGGUUCACCACUGUACCAACCUGUCACACUGAAGGCCUAUAGGUUCACCACUGUACUAACCUGUCACACUGAAGGCCUAUAGGUUCACCACUGUACUAACCUGUCACACUGAAGGCCUAUAGGUUCACCACUGUACUAACCUGUCACACUGAAGGCCUAUAGGUUCACCACUGUACUAACCUGUCACACACUGAAGACCUAUAGGUUCACCACUGUAUUAACCUGUCACACUGAAGACCUAUAGGUUCACCACUGUACUAACCUGUCACACUGAAGACCUAUAGGUUCACCACUGUAUUAACCUGUCACACUGAAGACC